GUUAUGACACAGUGGACUCUGUCAAUUCUUUCACAAUUCCAGCAGCCAGUGCCCCAGAACUCUCAUACAGCAUUAAUAUCAAUGUGAAUGGUCGCUGGUCUUUCCAUGUUGAUGGUUCGCUAAACUUGCCUGCUAAUUUCCUGCCGUUUGGGGAGGGAGACGUGGUAAAUCCCAUUUCAGAUGAUGGAAGCUCUGGAGCCAUUUACUUGCAGCAGCCUUUCAAAUACUUUGGACGCACAUACAAUCAGAUCUAUGUGAACAACAACGGUCACCUGACUUUUACUCAACCACUGUCUGCCUACGUUCAUUAUCUGAACGCUGGAAUAGACAUCAUUGCUCCUCUGUGGACCGACCUUAACAAUUUCAAUGGUGGAACUAUCUCCUACAGAGAGGAUACAAGUAGCGCUGUACUGGCACAAGUCACUCAAGCUGUUAACCAAUAUUUCCCUAACGUCCCUUUUACCGCUACAUCAGCCUUUGUGGCUACCUGGGACAGUGUGCCGUACAUCACUGGUGGAGGGGUGGUUACUUUCCAAGUGGUUUUU